rnacentral:rRNA from 1 species
GUGUCAGCAGCCGCGGUAAUACGUAGGGUGCGAGCGUUGUCCGGAAUUAUUGGGCGUAAAGAGCUCGUAGGCUGCCUGUUUCGUCCGCUGUGAAAUCCCGGGGCUUAACCCCGGGCCUGCAGUGGAUACGGGCUGGCUGGAGGCAGGCAGGGGAGAACGGAAUUCCUGGUGUAGCGGUGAAAUGCGCAGAUAUCAGGAGGAACACCGGUGGCGAAGGCGGAUCUCUGGGCCAUUACUGACGCUGAGGAGCGAAAGCGUGGUGAGCGAACAGGAUUAGAUACCCUAGUAGUCC